CGAAUUUUAUGAAACUCUACCACUAAGGGGAUAAAACGGGGGUUGGAAGUUUGUAUGAAAGUCCUAUGUUUUUGGAGGAAGAGACUUGAAAUUUAAAAUGUAUGCUCUAUAGAUAGUGAGAAGGUGUCCAAAUAAUGUAUAUUUAGAAAUCAACUCCGUUUUGGGGUUAAAACGGGGGAUGGUAGGUUGAUUCACUCAUCACGAAAUCUCCGAAACUAUAAUACCUACAAACUUGAAAUUUGGCAGGUACGUUUCUUAUA
rnacentral:misc_RNA from 1 species